UGGGGAAUAUUGCACAAUGGGCGAAAGCCUGAUGCAGCAACGCCGCGUGAGUGAUGAAGGCCUUCGGGUUGUAAAGCUCUGUCUUCUGGGACGAUAAUGACGGUACCAGAGGAGGAAGCCACGGCUAACUACGUGCCAGCAGCCGCGGUAAUACGUAGGUGGCAAGCGUUGUCCGGAUUUACUGGGCGUAAAGGAUGCGUAGGCGGAUACUUAAGUCAGAUGUGAAAAUCCCGGGCUUAACUUGGGAACUGCAUUUGAAACUGGGUAUCUAGAGUGCGGGAGAGGAAAGUGGAAUUCCUAGUGUAGCGGUGAAAUGCGUAGAGAUUAGGAAGAACACCAGUGGCGAAGGCGACUUUCUGGACCGUAACUGACGCUGAGGCAUGAAAGCGUGGGGAGCAAACAG
rnacentral:rRNA from 1 species